ensembl:rRNA 5S_rRNA 5S ribosomal RNA
UACCACAGCCAUAUCAUCCCUGCAGCCGAAGGCUGGUUACUCACUGAAGCUAAGCAGGGCUGCGCCUGGUCAGUACUUGAAUAGGAGACCACAUAGGAAAACUAGGUUGCUGUUGGAA